rnacentral:rRNA from 1 species
GGAAUAUUGGGCAAUGGACGCAAGUCUGACCCAGCCAUGCCGCGUGCAGGAGGAAGGCGUUAUGCGUUGUAAACUGCUUUUAUACAGGAAGAAACGACUCUUGCGAGAGGCAUUGACGGUACUGUAUGAAUAAGCACCGGCUAACUCCGUGCCAGCAGCCGCGGUAAUACGGAGGGUGCAAGCGUUGUCCGGAUUUAUUGGGUUUAAAGGGUGCGCAGGUGGUUUAUUAAGUCAGUGGUGAAAGACGGUCGCUCAACGAUUGCAGUGCCAUUGAAACUGGUAGACUUGAGUAAAGUAGAGGUGGGCGGAAUUGAUAGUGUAGCGGUGAAAUGCAUAGAUAUUAUCAAGAACUCCAAUUGCGUAGGCAGCUCACUUGGCUUUUACUGACACUCAUGCACGAAAGUGUGGGUAUCAAACAGGAUUAGAUACCCUGGUAGUCCACACUGUAAACGAUGAUAACUAGGUGUCGGCCGAAUCUGGUCGGUGCCACAGCGAAAGCGUUAAGUUAUCCACCUGGGGAGUACGCCGGCAACGGUGAAACUCAAAUGAAUUGACGG